rnacentral:rRNA from 1 species
GAUGAACGCUGGCGGCGUGCCUAAUACAUGCAAGUCGAGCGAACGGACGAGAAGCUUGCUUCUCUGAUGUUAGCGGCGGACGGGUGAGUAACACGUGGAUAACCUACCUAUAAGACUGGGAUAACUUCGGGAAACCGUAGCUAAUACCGGAUAAUAUUUUGAACCGCAUGGUUCAAAAGUGAAAGACGGUCUUGCUGUCACUUAUAGAUGGAUCCGCGCUGCAUUAGCUAGUCGGUAAGGUAACGGCUUACCAAGGCAACGAUGCAUAGCCGACCUGAGAGGGUGAUCGGCCACACUGGAACUGAGACACGGUCCAGACUCCUACGGGAGGCAGCAGUAGGGAAUCUUCCGCAAUGGGCGAAAGCCUGACGGAGCAACGCCGCGUGAGUGAUGAAGGUCUUCGGAUCGUAAAACUCUGUUAUUAGGGAAGAACAUAUGUGUAAGUAACUGUGCACAUCUUGACGGUACCUAAUCAGAAAGCCACGGCUAACUACGUG